CAUGAUCGAAUUGUUUUUUUCUUUUCUUGUAAUCCAUGAUCGAAUUUUUUGUUUUUUUAUGUUUUUUUUUUUUUGUAAUCCAUGAUCGAAUUUUAUGUAAUCCAUGAUCGAAUUUUAUGUAAUCCAUGAUCGAAUUUUUUGUAAUCCAUGAUCGAAUUUUUUGUAAUCCAUGAUCGAAUUUUUUGUAAUCCAUGAUCGAAUUUUUUGUAAUCCAUGAUUGAAUUUUUUGAAAAUUUG
rnacentral:lncRNA from 1 species